CGAAUACUGGCUUGUCUGUUGACCAUUUAAAGCAUCUUUUUGUUCCUCCACUGGAUUUUUUUUUUCCUCAGCCAUUGCAGAAGAAAUAUAAAUAUUCCUUAGCACCAGCCAGAAGGAAAAGAAUCAAGAACAGACAAUCUGUAAGAGACUUCCACUGGAUUCAUGUCAUGAAUCUGCUGUUACAGUGAAGUGAAUCAUGGGAACAAUUAUAUAGAGAGCCAUUUGGCAUGCCAUCACUGCAAAGGAGAUACGCAUUUUUGACAGCAUUUGGACAGAAAUAGCACAGAUCAGAUCAUCUCAGUGUGGUCUUGAAGACAGAAUGGCCUCUAUCCAUAAUAAAUGCGGUCUUAAAGAAUUUUCUGAUGAAAAUGAUCUUCAAAUGCAGGAGUUGCAGGGCACUCCUUAACCUUCCUGAA
rnacentral:lncRNA from 1 species